rnacentral:lncRNA from 1 species
AAAGAUACAAGAUAAUACAUAUCUUUGAUGAUGAAGAUCCAGAAUUCUAAGCAAAGCGCCCAACUCUUCCUCUAUCUAGUCUAAACAUAUGUGGAACUUGAAGAAUUGGAAUAGCUAUUCUAAUUCUCCAGUGGAGAGAUCUCUAAACCCUAGAUCUACUGAUGACUCCCUUUACUUCUUAGUUCUCAAAUGAAUUAGAUAAUGAAUUAGGGUUUCUCCCAAGGGGAGAGGCCCUGAAUAUAUAGCCCUCUAGAAAGCACCACAGCUCUCGGAUCAAACCGACCUAAACAGGUGGUCAAGAUUGCUCCUCAAGGUCAGUGGAGGCAGUAUCCACGAGACCCCCCUGAUUGGUCUAGGGGGAGGGGUGGCUGCCUAGAGAGCUUGGGCGCCUGCCCAGGCACAAUGCUAGGUGGGCCCCAGCUUUAGGGUGCUGCCUUCCCAAGUCUUCUAGAUUGUUCUUUGAUUAAACGAUGUGGUAUUCUCUCUAUGUAAAUCCAACAUGUGGGCCUCCUUUGGUUAAUUCCUGAUAACCCCCUAUAGAAACAGACAUUCACCAAAAUUCAUGAAAAUUGUCAAUGAAAGCCCUAAGUCUAUAGUGAUAUUCAUUUUAUAUCCCCUUUUCUCUCCUUGAUUGACAUAUAAAAUUGAUGGUUAACAACCAUCAACAAACUCCCCAAGCUUACCUUUUGCUCGUCCCUGAGCAAACAACUACAAGAGAUUGAUCAAGAGUUGCUACAAUACUUUCACGCUUUAUAGGUACACAUGCUUCAAACAAGAGUUCAUCCCCAGACUAGAGUGGACUAUCAUAACUUCCAAACUUACUAAUGUUUCUUCCAACAAUGGGGGCUUUUACCUGAACUUGGGUCAUAGGCAGUUGAGAGAUAGAACAAUUAAGUCAAGCACUGUUGUCUCAUGCUCUAUUGUUCCACCUCUAUUCUGGAGUUUUUAUAAGAUUUUCACAAUAAAACUCAGAGUUCCUUAGCAUGAUCCUUUCAAAUCUCUCAAUAUGUGAUAUUUUUGGAUCCUCUCUAAGGCAUUGAAAGGAGUGAUGCCCUUUUCUCUUUGCUCUCAGAAUAUAUGGUAUUUGUGGCACAAGGCAUUUAUACAUGAGUCUUCACUUUCUCACCCUAUAUCUAAUAAAGCUUAUGUGGAGCUCAUAGGUGUGGAGGUAACUAAUGCAUUGUGCCCGAUCGAACCAUGGAUCUAGAGGAACUCAUCAUAUAACCAAUAGUUGUGCAUGUGUGGUUUUAUAUGUGGGUGAUGGAAGAUAGAAAAUAUUUAUGGAAGGAGAAGGGGUGCAAAAUAAUUCUAAUGUUCCUUUAUUUGGGAAAUGAUUCCUCUAACUUUGAACUUUGGAAACUUGACGAUAAACUUGGGUUCAUAAAUCUUUGUUUUUCUUCUUCUCUCUUUUUUCAUAGAACUUUUGUCCAAUAUUUUCCUUGUAGCCCAACAACUCUUUUUGUAAAUGAAAAUUUUGUAGAGGAAUAAAAGAUAAAACUUGGAGCAUUGAACUUGAGGUAAAUGGCUAUCAAAUGAAUACGGGAAAUAUGUUUGGUGUUCACUCUCAGUGUAAGAGUGCAACAUUUUUAAAUAGGUGAGAUGGAAAUAUAUAAGUGGUGCGUACUUCUAGAGUAGAAGCAGCAAGGGGUGAACAUGAGUGUGUGAUACCGGGAUUUAACCAUAUGAUGAGUUCCUAAGGGUUGACACUGCUCGAGCAAACACAAGCCCUAUAAAUAUGUGGAGGCUUUCUAUUCUAAGUAUUCAAUUAUAGUUGUGGUUGCAAUUUAUACUCUCUAUCAUAUAAGGAACUCAUCAUGAAACAUUUUGAAUUUUUGCAAACAAACCUCUAGAAUUUAGCGACACCAAGAAUAUAAUAAACAAUAGCUCAGACUAUAUCAUAUCAUGUCCAUCAACUACCUAGACUUAGUUUAAGAAUAUGCUCCCACAGGUUUAAAAAGUAGAGUAAAUUCAGUUGUUGAACAGUGUAUCUAAUGCUUGGAAGAACUUAGGUUUAAAGGUAGGUACUUGAAAAGAAUUACGGCAAAGCAACUAGUCAUCAUUUCCAUCAUGCAUUCUUCGAGUCUACAUAUUUUAUUUAUAUCAAACUUAAUAGGAAAGUAAAGCAAACUCAUAUUACACACUCUUUAAGGAAGCCCAAACUUAAACAGUAAAUUAAACAACAAAUAUUUAUUUGGUUUUAUAUGGUUUUUUUAUUUUAUUAUAUGCGAUAAAAAGAAAGAAGGAAAGCUGGAAUGAAGGGAAAGAAAACUUACCUCGAUAAUGGGGAUCCUCCCCCAAGCUAGUCUUGAUGCACUGGAUCCUACAGGAUUUGCUGAAACACGAAAAUGUCAUUUAGGGUGCUGUUGGCUUGGUCUUGUCCUUCUCGAAUGGUGGCCAAGGCCUGGGUGGUGCCUAGGUUCCACUGAUGUUGGUCAUUCCACCGCUGCUCGUUAAGGGCUUGACCCUACUGGAGACUCUAGUGGGUGUUGUCGGUGUGCUGAUGGAAUGCCAUUUCUCUAUCAUAAUGCUGCUGAGUGUAAUGGAACCCAGCAGCCUUAGACCUACACCCUGGCUCGAAAUCCUAGUAAGGCUCUUCUUCUGUCCUUGUGUCGUAGGCAUCAAAUGAAUGUCCUCCUCCUCCUAGGGUCCCCUCUAGGGAUGAAUGGUGGUGGCUGGUAGUAUCCAUAGGGUUGAUGAGCUAGAUGGUAUGGAGGGUACACUCUAGGGUGUAGUGCGUGGUGCUGGCGUGCAUGCCACAUCAUAACUGGCAUGCACCGGACCCUCCUAAGCAGGGUCAGCUCCAUGCCAAACUAGCUCUUGCUGACGGACAAAUCUCUCAGAGGUUGUCCUCUGAGGAGCCCUCAUAUUGACUAGCCUAGCCUGCAACUCAACAUGCAGAGUCUGGACAUGAUACAAUGCCAUCUCUGGGUUAGGUAAAUGGAGGGUGGCCUCUCUAUAUGUCAUAAAUAAGUCACCCUUGAUUCUUUUCAUUAAAUGAGCAUGCAAAAAAUGUUUAUAGCAAAAAUAACUCUAUGCUCUUCAAUGAAAUCUAGAGAGGAACCAUCAAUCAGAGAAAGUUUCAUGGCUAAACGAGUGAUAAUAGAGCAAAUGGCCACAUCCCCUACUUUGUAGUGAGGAACACCCAACUAGUGGUCAACUAAAGCACGAAUAGGUGAUACCUUAAUUUUCUUUUACAGCUGCAUACAUUAGCUGUAAGUCUAUGAUUCUAACCUUGCUAGUGUCAUCACGGGGAAAGAAAACCAUACCCAACCAUUUGUGUAAGAACCUAAGUGUGGGAUGCUCUAUGUCUCCGGUGCGGUGUGCAUGCAAGAACAGUUCUUUAGAAAUGUUGGUCCAAAACCUAUGUGUGUCGUAAUCUCCUAAGGCUCCUACUAUGUCUAUGGGUGCAUCUAAGGGGAAGCCUAAGAGAUGACUAAGGUUUCUCCAGGUGAAGUAAAACUCUCGGGUGAGAAGUCUAAAAUAGACUCCUGUUUCAGUGAGUUGGAGAGUGCAGAGAAACUCUAUGGUCAAGAGUUUUGACCCUAACUCAGUGAUGUUUGCAAAAGUUUUCCAACUGACAAACUAAAAAAUGGUGUCGAGUUCAUCGGCCAUACCUGCCUCGUAUAGAAGUGUUUCAUCGAGGACUGGCAUGUGUGCGUAGCUCCAAUCUUUGAACUUCUUAUAGAUGGCCCUCUCCCGAGAAUCUCUCAAGGCAAGAUGAGAUGCCCUGAGGAGGAUCCUCUGGGGUGCAGAAGAAGAUGUUGACUGGGGGAUGACUGGGGGAUCGAUGCUCAUGUCGGAGCUGACCCUUGAUGAAGCAUACCGGGACGAGCUCGUUGUGCUCCUACCCAUGACCUUGUUGGCGAUUCCUUUGACCUAGCUCUUCAUCCUACAAAAAAUCUUACAACAAUACUAGUGCAAAAAGGGGGUUAGUUAAUAGUUAGUGGUUAGCCAUCCACAGUCAGCAGUCCAAAGGUUAGUCGUUCUUCCAAGAUUAAUUCUAGUUUGUAGUUUUGAUUUUGAUAGAACCUCCCCUCAUAUUUUAAAAUUCUUAUUCCUACCUGGACAGCAUCUCCACUAAUUUUCUAUGAGAUUCUUGCAGCACUACUCCUCUCCACACUAGCUCCUUGAGCUCUUGCUCAUACUCCUCGCUUCUCAGUUCUCACUCACUUCUAUACUAUUUCUACUCUCUCCUUCUCUCUCAAACUCUCUCUGUACAACUCAAAGUCGAGAGCAAGGUUACAGGCAACGAAAACUGAAUGUGUGGUG